CCAACACAGAUACCCCAGGAAGUCACUCUCCCUGGCCCCUGUCCAAGUGGCAUAGGGGAGCACAGGGCUCUGCUCCAUGAUGCCCAGUCCCUUUCCUAGCAUUGGAGAUAAAGCUGGGCUCUGUGUGUACACCUGCAUUUUCCUAAAACUUCUCAGAGUCCUGUGGACAAUAACUGAGAAGAUGAACCAAGCAGGAAAUAUGA